GACUACUGAGACCGCUCUGCGGGUGGGUUCAGACCCCAUUCCUGUUUCUGGUCCUGUGGGAAACCACAGGUGCCUGGAACUUUGAAGAGACUGUACCACUUCUCUGAGCCUUGGCUUUCCCAUCUGCCCAAUGAAGGGUGCCAUGCAGUAACCCUCGUGAUGGCUGUGCAUGUGAGAAGGAACAGGCUUGCGGGGGAGAGUAUGCAACACAGAGCAACUGGAGUAACCCUCAGUCCCAGGACACAGGAUGGCAGGACAAGCACUGAG
rnacentral:lncRNA from 10 species